GAUGAACGCUGGCGGCGUGCCUAACACAUGCAAGUCGAACGGAGAUUCCGGACGGAAGUUUUCGGAUGGAAGCCUGUAAUUCUUAGUGGCGGACGGGUGAGUAACGCGUGGGCAACCUGCCCUAUACAGGGGGAUAGCAGCUGGAAACGGCUGGUAAGACCGCAUAAGUCGGUUAAAUCGCAUGAUUUGAUCGGGAAAUGAGCAAUCAGGUAUAGGAUGGGCCCGCGUCCGAUUAGCCAGUUGGCAGGGUAAAAGCCUACCAAAGCGACGAUCGGUAGCCGGACUGAGAGGUCGGACGGCCACAUUGGGACUGAGACACGGCCCAAACUCCUACGGGAGGCAGCAGUGGGGGAUAUUGCACAAUGGAGGAAACUCUGAUGCAGCGACGCCGCGUGAGUGAAGAAGUAUUUCGGUAUGUAAAGCUCUAACAGCAGGGAAGAUGAUGACGGUACCUGACGAAGAAGCCCCGGCUAACUACGUG
rnacentral:rRNA from 1 species